rnacentral:rRNA from 1 species
GACGAACGCUGGCGGCGUGCUUAACACAUGCAAGUCGAACGGAAAGGCCCUUCUUUUGUGGGGUGCUCGAGUGGCGAACGGGUGAUUAACACGUGAGUAACCUGCCCUUGACUUUGGGAUAACUUCAGGAAACUGGGGCUCAUACCGGAUAGGAGCUCCUGCUGCAUGGUGGGGGUUGGAAAGUUUAGGCGGUUGGGGAUGGACUCGCGGCUUAUCAGCUUGUUGGUGGGGUAGUGGCUUACCAAGGCUUUGACGGGUAGCCGGCCUGGGAGGGUGACCGGCCACAAUGGGACUGCGAGACGGAGCAGACUCCAACGGGAGGCAGCAGUGGGGAAUAUUGUCCAGUGGGCGGGAGCGUGAUGCAGCAACGCCGCGUGUGGGAUGAGGGCCUUCGGGGUGUGAACCGCCUUCGCCUGUUACGGAGCGUGAGUGACGGUAAUGUAUAAAUAAGCACCGGCUAACUACGUG